rnacentral:rRNA from 1 species
AGUGAACGCUGGCGGUAGGCCUAACACAUGCAAGUCGAACGGCAGCACAGUAAGAGCUUGCUCUUACGGGUGGCGAGUGGCGGAUGGGUGAGGAAUACAUCGGAAUCUACUUUUUCGUGGGGGAUAACGUAGGGAAACUUACGCUAAUACCGCAUAUGACCUACGGGUGAAAGCAGGGGAUCUUCGGACCUUUCGCGAUUGAAUGAGCCGAUGUCGGAUUAGCUAGUUGGCGGGGUAAAGGCCCACCAAGGCGACGAUCCGUAGCCGGUCUGAGAGGAUGAUCGGCCACACUGGAACUGAGACACGGUCCAGACUCCUACGGGAGGCAGCAGUGGGGAAUAUUGGACAAUGGGCGCAAGCCUGAUCCAGCCAUACCGCGUGGGUGAAGAAGGCCUUCGGGUUGUAAAGCCCUUUUGUUGGGAAAGAAAAGCAGCAGGUUAAUACCCCGCUGUUCUGACGGUACCCAAAGAAUAAGCACCGGCUAACUUCGUG